rnacentral:lncRNA from 7 species
AAGCAACUUUAGUUGCUGAAGCAACCCCGCUGUACGUACGUGCGCGAAUUGGUGUACUCGUGAAUACAUAAGCAUGCCGUCACGGAUAGCUAGCGUAGCAUGCAAAACAGUGAUCCACCAGAUGAUGCGUUCAUUGACGAAGCCUCUCAACUCAUCAUCAGUCUCAGCUACUCGAUCGGUCUACUCGUACUAUAUUACGUACCACUUCUAACAAAAAAUUGACUCGACACACACAAAACGCGCGCUACCGCGCAGCGCGCGUCAACUGCCUGCCGAUCGAGGGCCGAUCAAGUCAGAGUCACUAGCGACAUAGGGAUACUAGCUAGCUAGCUGAAGCACGAACACGGACGCACCGACCAUCUGUCACGCGUGAUAAACGGGACAACAACAACCGCGACACGGCUGAUGACUCGUCGACCCGCGAGGAGAGGGAACGUGCCACUAGGCUACUCCGCGUCGUCUCUACGUCCGGCCGGUCCUCCCACGUCCGAGUCCGAGGACGCCGGACGGUCGCCGGUGGACGACGUCGAC